GAUGAACGCUGGCGGCGUGCUUAACACAUGCAAGUCGAACGAAGCACUUUAUUUGAUUUCCUUCGGGACUGAUUAUUUUGUGACUGAGUGGCGGACGGGUGAGUAACGCGUGGGUAACCUGCCUUGUACAGGGGGAUAACAGUUGGAAACGGCUGCUAAUACCGCAUAAGCGCACGACAUCGCAUGAUGCAGUGUGAAAAACUCCGGUGGUAUAAGAUGGACCCGCGUUGGAUUAGCUAGUUGGUGAGGUAACGGCCCACCAAGGCGACGAUCCAUAGCCGACCUGAGAGGGUGACCGGCCACAUUGGGACUGAGACACGGCCCAAACUCCUACGGGAGGCAGCAGUGGGGAAUAUUGCACAAUGGGCGAAAGCCUGAUGCAGCGACGCCGCGUGAGCGAAGAAGUAUUUCGGUAUGUAAAGCUCUAUCAGCAGGGAAGAUAAUGACGGUA
rnacentral:rRNA from 1 species